rnacentral:rRNA from 1 species
AUACGUAGGGAGCGAGCGUUGUCCGGAAUUACUGGGUGUAAAGGGUGCGUAGGCGGGACUGCAAGCCCGAUGUGAAAUGCAGGGGCUCAACCCCGGAGCUGCAUUUGAGACUGUGGUUCUUGAGGGAAGGAGAGGGAAGCGGCAUUCCUGGUGUAGCGGGGGAAUGCGUAGAUAACAGGAGGAACACCGGUGGCGAAGGCGGCUUACUGGGCUUUUACUGACGCUGAGGCUCGAAAGCGUGGGGAGCAAACAGGAUUAGAUACCCUGGUAGUCCACGCUGUAAACGAUGAUUACUAGGUGUGGGGGGACUGACUCCUUCCGUGCCGCAGUUAACACAAUAAGUAAUCCACCUGGGGAGUACGGCCGCAAGGUUGAAACUCAAAUGAAUUGACGGGG